AUAGAGCUUUGCUUCUAUGAGGCUGUGAGGCGUGGCGGACGGGUGAGUAACACGUGGAGAACCUGCCCUAAAGCGUGGGAUAACAUUUGGAAACAGUUGCUAAUACCACAUAAAAGUAAGAAUCGCAUGAUUUUUAUUUGAAAGGCGCAAUUGCGUCACUUAAGGAUGGCUCUGCGCUGCAUUAGCUAGUUGGUUAGGUAAUAGCUAACCAAGGCCACGAUGCAUAGCCGGCCUGAGAGGGUGAUCGGCCACAUUGGGACUGAGAGACGGCCCAAACUUCUACGGGAGGCAGCAGUAGGGAAUCUUCGGCAAUGGAGGGAACUCUGACCGAGCAACGCCGCGUGAGUGAGGAAGGUUUUCGGAUCGUAAAACUCUGUAGUAAAGCAAAGAACAAGAAGGAUAGUGGAAGGCUCCUUCUCUGACGGUAACUUACUAGAAAGUCCCGGCUAACUACGUGCCAGCAGCCGCGGUAAGACGUAGGGGGCAAGCGUUGUCCGGAUUUACUGGGCGUAAAGUGAGCGUAGGCGGUUCAUUAAGUUGGGUGUGAAAUCCCUCGGCUCAACCGAGGAUCGUCGCCCAAAACUAUAGAACUUGAGUGCAGAAGAGGAGAGUGGAAUUCCAUGUGUAGUGGUGAAAUGCGUAGAUAUAUGGAGGAACACCAGUGGCGAAAG
rnacentral:rRNA from 1 species